AUAAUGGUGUCUUUAGACACCACCCUUUAUCUUAAAAAAAAUUGUU
rfam:Picea glauca, whole genome shotgun sequence.